UCCCCGUUACCGGGGCAGUCUAGCUAGAAAAAUUCAACUAACCAUAAGGGUUGCGCUCGUUGAUGGACUUAACCAAACAUCUCACGACACGAGCUGACGACGGCCAUGCAACACCUGUCACUGAGUUCCGGGUUACAAUACACAAAAAAAUUUUAUGUACUCUAACCCGGCACUCACUCCUUUCGGAGUAAUUCUCAGGAUGUCAAGCCCUGGUAAGGUUCUUCGCUUACCAUCGAAUUAAACAACACGCUCCACCGCUUGUGCGGGUCCCCGUCAAUUCCUUUGAGUUUUAGUCUUGCGACCGUACUCCCCAGGCGGGAUGCUUAACGCGUUAGCUUCGCUACAUACCGGGUCGAUACGGCAUACAGCUAGCAUCCAUAGUUUACGGCGUGGACUAC
rnacentral:misc_RNA from 1 species